GGCCCCGUGGCGCAAUGGUAGCGCAGAUGACUUUUAAUCAUUUGGUUGCAGGUUCGAGUCCUGCCGGGGUCA
rnacentral:tRNA from 1 species